ensembl:misc_RNA Metazoa_SRP Metazoan signal recognition particle RNA
GCCCAGCGCGGAGCCUGAGGAUGUUGUCCCAGCUACUCUGGAGGCUGAGACGGGAGGAUCGCUUGAGCUCAGGAGUUCUGGUCUGUCGUGAGCUAUGCUGAUGUGGUGUCCACACUAAGUUCGGCAUCAAUAUGGUGACCUCCCGGAGACGGGGGCCAGCAGGUUCCCUAAGGAGAGGUGAACAAGUCCAGGUCUGAAACCAAACAGGUCAUAACUCCAGUGCUGAUCAAUAGCGGAAUCGUGCCUGGGAAUAGCCACUGCACUCCAGCCUGGGCAACAUAGCGAGACUCAUGCCUGU